rnacentral:tRNA from 2 species
CGGAUGUAGUUUAAUGGUAGAACCCCAGCCUUCCAAGCUGAAUACGGGGGUCCGAUUCCCCUCAUCCG